CAGUGGACACAAACUCAUCUUUAAAUCCUCGACUGCACUUCUAAUAUAAAUAUGUUCCUCUGUUCCAUUAAGAUCAUAGAUGGUGUAAAUCCAAGCAGUGUUUCUCCUGAUGUUGUGUCCCAUGUUGCCUUCAGUGUUCAGGUGAGAGCAGAGAAAUCAUUUCCAUAGAGAGGAGGCUUUGCAUGGUCAGCUGAUCCUCCAGUGAACUGAGAAGGUUUAUAGUCCUGUGAGUUCAACACUGCAGGACUCACAUCUGUCAGUCAACACAGCAGAAAGCACAACCACCAUGACUCUCAUCACCAUCCUCAUCUGGACGCUGGCCUGCUGCUGUUUUACAGGAUGCAGCGGUCAGGUGACUGUGACUCAGCCUCCAGUAGUGACAUCUGCUCCAGGAUCCACUGUCACUCUCACCUGUAGAACCAACAUACGACCUUACAACGGCAAUCGUAUUUACUGGUAUCAACAGAAAUCUGGACAGACUCCAAAGCUCCUGAUAAAAUUUGUGAGCACACGUGAAUCAGGAACACCAGCUCGGUUUAGUGGCAGUGGAAGCAACCUCGACUUCAGUUUGACCAUCAGUGGAGUUCAGACUGAAGAUGCAGCAGUUUAUUACUGUUUGAAUGAACCCCCACUAACCAGUGUCAAUGUGUUCACACAGUGAUUUUUCGUCGUACAAAAACCUCCCUCAGUCAGACUGCAGAGACUCUGAGCUG